ensembl:lncRNA
GAGAAGCUGGGAUCUAUUAGUGAUGUCUGCCCGGGGGUGGGCGAGGAGAGUGACGGCAAGUGUGCCGUGUCUUUGCCGUUUAUGAACUGGUUGCAUUUGAAGGCCCCUCUGGCUCUGAUGGCUCAUGAACCAGUGAUUCUAAGCAAUUGGAAGGCUCCACCAUGUGUUUGGAUUUAACAAGGGCCAUAGCCAAGGAGAGAAGUGAAAGACGGUGGGGACAUCAAGGCCAGCUGGUUUCUGACUGGUGUAUCCAUUCUCCCGGGGAUGGAAACCACCUGCUUCUGCCUGCCUUCCCGGUUCACUUAGGUGGGAAUGCUCUCUGGCCCUAGUGUGACUCAGUCUGACCGGUAAGAUCGUUGGAUUUGCUUGGUGUGUGUAUGUGCUGAAAUGACGUGAAAUGAGGCUUUUGCUGGAACCGCUGUUAGAGAGAGGCAGCAUUCUUCCCACUGACUCCGAACCUGGGAGGUUGCAGCUCGGGGCUUCCUGCCACGAUGGGUUGCCUGAGAAUGAGGCCAAUACGAAGGAGCACAAAGUCGAGAUGACAAGAGGCUGCGUGAUAGAGACAUCUUCGUAGCCCCUGGAUCCAGCCCUGCCUGAUGUGGAUUCUUGGAUUGUUUUGCUUACAAGAGCCGGUAAUAUCUUUUCCGCUUAAGUCAGUUUGAGACUUAAAGGACACGCCUAGAAUUAAUCUCAGUGAAACAGCAAGUCCUUUUUUGUCCGUCUGUUGUGAAAGGAGCUCUGCGCUGGACUGGUUGGAACGCGCUGCAUGCCAGGCCCCCUCUGCCGCCCCUUCCUCUUAAGACUGCAUGGCAGAGGGGGCUGGUUCUGGAGGCCCUGGGGAACUCAGCCCCCUCCAGCCUCCAGAGGAUAACGGUCCCUGAACUGGUUCCCACCACGAGGGAUGCCUUCCCUGAGGGCUCCCCGGUGGAUAAGGAGACAAAGCAAACCAGGGGGGCCUGGACCUGCUCUGAUGGACCCGACUGCUGAGUUCAGGAAGGGGCUCCAGGGAGUAACCACAGGAUAAGAAGUUAAUCCACGUGCGACAUUUUCCCGUGAACAGCUCAGCAGACUGGUGGCACGGAGUGAGCGUCUGACGAGUGACUGCUGCUGCUAUCACCGGUGUCGUUACUAUCACCACCGUUGAGCUGCGUGCUGGGCUCAGUCGUGUCUGACACUUUGUGACCCCGAUUCGGGGUGUCCAUAUCUAUUCAGUGAAUUGAGUUGCAGUCCAUGCCAGGACCCCAGAGGGCCAUUUGGAGCGUGUCCUCAGCCACAGAGAUUACCCUGAGGGUCAGCAGCACUGACCUCUCUUAAAUCCCCCUCUGAACCCUCAUUUUGGGCUGAGGAGAUGCUCUGACUCAUGAUUAGAGAAUGGAGGGUCUCAUGCCUUGAGUCAGAUCCAAGGAUGAGACUGGGUUUGCAGGCUGGGCUCCUCUCAUAGGGCUGCCAAGCCCUCCCACUGUCCACGCGAGGCUGGUGUGGGUUAAUGAGUCUCUCUCCCUGUAAUAAUCUGAUCAAUGGCUCCUCCCUACGCUGCUCCUCGAUGGAACCUCUAGGUCCUUUCUUUGGCUGGUUCCAGCCUAGUGGAGACCUCUGCAUAGACCAUUAUUGCUUAAUUACUGGCUAAAUGGUCUCAUUUGUUCUCCAUUUGUCAGCGGUGAGUCCCGCCAGGGCAGCCAAGAGAAUUUUGAAAUUUCUCAUCAAGCUCUGGCUUUAGGAAGUGAAGACACCUGGGUCUCCUUCCUUUCUGCUGGUGUCUGGCAACACUGGGCAUAGACUUGGGGGAGCAGCUCCUGGAGCUGGUGUUGGUGCCUCUUCCCACACUGUCUCCACAGCUUUCUUUGCUCUCCUUGCUUUUUGCUUAUCCCCCCCCACCCCAUUUUUGCCUUGGCCUCUCCACUCUUUCAGCCCAGCAUGGUAGAAUGAACUUGAACCCUGCAACCAUGAAACCUGAGUUUGAAGUCCACUGGCCACCUGUGUGGCUGAAAGUCCAUAUUUCCAUAUGCAGAACGCACACUUCACAGAGGCACACCGAGCGUGGCUCGAGAGUGACUUUCCACCGUCGGCUGCCGUUGUGUAUGUCGCACACUUACGAGCUUUAAUUAUGCUUUUGUAGCAUACAUGGUACAUCUCAUACUUCUGUGGCCCUUUCAUAGGGCCUCUCACAAAGCUGAGGAGUCUGGCUCAGGUCCCCCUUUCAAGCCGGCAUUAUCUUUUGCUCCUUCCCCACCACUCAUCUUCUUUCUCCUGCAGUGUUCCACAUGGACGCUACGGGUCCAGAGCGGGAGGCUUUUGGAUUUCAAUAAUGUUGUUAAAAAAUCUUCUCUGUGCUCUUU